rnacentral:ncRNA from 1 species
AUGAGCAUAUGGUCUAGGGAGUGCUAGCACCAGGGAUAUCCGGCUUGUGGCAGCCAAGCGUUCACAGCGACAUUACUUUUUGAUCCUUCCGUGUCGGCUCCUCCUAUCACGCUGAAGCAGAAUUCAGUAAGCGUUGGAUUGUUCACCCACUAAUAGAGAUUGUGGGCUUGGCUUAGAUCGUCAUGAGACAGGUUAGUUUUACACUACUGAUGAGAUGUUGUUGCAAUAGUAAUUGAACGUAGUACGAGAGGAACCUAUCAUUCGGAUAAUAGGUAUUUGGGCCUGCCUGAGCAGGCGAUGGCCCGAAGUUAUCAUCCGUUGGAUUCCGACCUUCUUCCUCUGCCCCCGGGCAUGGAAAAAGCCCCAUCUGGU